UCAGUAGCUCAGUGGUAGAGCGGUCGGCUGUUAACUGACUGGUCGUAGGAUUCGAACCCUUAACCUGUA
rnacentral:tRNA from 1 species